rnacentral:rRNA from 1 species
CAGCCGCCGCGGGAAAACGAAGGGGGCUAGCGUUGUUCGGAAUUACUGGGCGUAAAGCGCACGUAGGCGGAUAUUUAAGUCAGGGGUGAAAUCCCGCAGCUCAACUGCGGAACUGCCUUUGAUACUGGGUAUCUUGAGUAUGGAAGAGGUUAGUGGAAUUGCGAGUGUAGAGGUGAAAUUCGUAGAUAUUCGCAGGAACACCAGUGGCGAAGGCGGCUAACUGGUCCAUAACUGACGCUGAGGUGCGAAAGCGUGGGGAGCAAACAGGAUUAGAUACCCGAGUAGUCCCUGUCUCUUAUAA